UUGCUAAAGGUUUCUUCAAGAAGUAGCAGUUUCUGAAUUGUGAGAGCUCUCGAUGGAAAACACAUUAAAAUUCGAGCUCCAAUUUAUUUAGAAAGUCAAUUUAUUAAUUAUAAGAAGUACUUCAGCAUUAUUCUUUUGGUAAUAUAUAAUGCAAAUUAUAAAUUUGUAUGGGUGGACAUUGGGCAAUAUGAGGUAUCAGCGACAGCGAUGUAUGGAGUAAUACUGAAUUAGCAGCUGGAAUGCGAGAGAAAACUGCUGAAAUUCCAGGUCCUCGGUAUCUCCCAGGGACAGCAAUAAAAGCCAAUCAUGUAUUUAUUGUUUCUUUUUUACGAUCACACUCAAAAUGUCUAUGUUGCAAGAGCUAUAACUUCAAGACUGAG